UGCAGGCUGCGUCACCAUCUUCCGCCCCGGAGGGUCUUCUCGCCCCGUCCUCCCCGGCAGAGUUCCCGCCAUCUUUAGCACCAGAGGGUCUUCUCGGCCGUGGCCUCCCCUGCUGACACCACUGCCGCCAUCUUAAGCGCUAGAAAGGCUGCGUCCGCCAUCUUCAGCGCCGGAGGGUCUUCUCUGCUGCACCCUCCCCUGCUGGCGUCACUGCUGCCAUCUUCAGCGCUAGAAAGAUAAGCAAACUAAGAUCACAGAGCAAGUGAUAGACUUAGAAUUCAACUCAAGCAGCCUGACUCCAGAGCAGAGAAGGAAGAUGCAACAGCACUACCUCCCACGAAAGUAGGGGGAAGAGACAGAUCUCCCAAGAAAGCCUCAGAAAAUGUUAAAGACGGCAGCCUCAGCCCCUCAGGGCAAAGCCAGCUGAGGGCAAGGCAGCUGGCUCUGCUGCGCGAAGUGGAGAUGAACUGGUACUUAAAGCUCUGCGACUUGUCCACUGAGCACACCACCGCC